UACGUAGGCAGCGAGCGUUGUUCGGAGUUACUGGGCGUAAAGGGUGUGUAGGCGGUUCUUUAAGUGAGGUGUUAAAUCGUGCGGCUCAACCAUAUCGAUGCAUCUCAUACUGGACACCUAGAGGAAAUCAGAGGCAAGUGGAACUAGUAGUGUAGCAGUGAAAUGCGUAGAUAUUACUAAGAACACCAAUGGCGAAGGCAGCUUGCUGGGAUUUUUCUGACGGUCAGAGACGAAAGCGUGGGGAGCGAACAGG
rnacentral:rRNA from 1 species